CCUCUUGCUUGUUUUCAGGGCAACAGCUAACUGACUAUUACUUUGAAUGUUCUUAACCAAAAUAAGAAGUCUAUAGCCUGCCAUUCUUUGCCUGUUCUGUCGUAACUGCUUCACUGAGCUGGUGUUAGUAUGGAACACCAGGCAUGCACACCAGAUUCUAAUUGUAUUUUCUUUUCUCUCCCUUCCCAUAUGCAUUGGUGAAGCUUCUUGAAGGGUAUGAACAACAAAGGAGAAAUCUUACACCAAGAAGCCAGCAACUGUUGGACAGCCCUGUACUGCGCAGUUAUGAUGAAUAUGAAACAGCAGAUGAUGUGACUGAUGUGGAAUCUGAAGUGACUGACGUAGAGUCUGAAGUGACUGAUGUGGAAUCUGAAGUGACUGACGUAGAAUCUGAAGUGACUGACGUAGAAUCUGAAGUGACUGAUGUAGAGUCUGAAGUGACUGAUGCAGAGUCUGAAGUGACUGAUGCAGAGUCUGAAGUGAUUGACAUAGAGUAUGCAGUGGCUGACACAGAGUAUGCACCGGCUGAUGUAGCGCCUGAAGUACGGAGAUCAUUGGACGAGGAACCUGCAAUUUCAGAGGAAUGGCAACGAGCUGUAAGGUGCCCGAUCUGCAUGGAUUUUUUUUCACAGAUUAUACGAAGUGUCCGACAGGUUGUGUCAACCCAGUGUGGCCAUCUCUUCUGCAGUCGGUGCAUCGCUGUUGCCCUUGAGAAUUCCAGGGCUUGCCCAACCUGCAGAACAGAACUCCCUCCCAGAGACUAUCAUCCCGUUUAUUUCUGAGUAUUUCUGUUUCUCAGGACAGAAGUAUCCCCCCCAGUCAGAUGGAUUUUCGGGGGUAGGUGGCAGAAA